rnacentral:sRNA from 1 species
AGGAGGCCAAGCGAAUCCGCCUGGAGCAGGAUCGGACUACACCAGGUUCCAAGAGCAGCUCAAACUGAUGAAGAAAGAGGUGAAGAACGAGGUGGAGAAGCUCCCCCGACAGCAGCGGAAGGAAAGCAUGAAGCAGAAGAUGGAGGAGCACACGCAGAAAAAGCAGCUUCUUGUGAGUCCCUGGCCUCAGCUGGGGAGUGCAGGGGCUGGUGCGAGACCUGGAAUGAUGACCAGGCCCCCUCUCUGCCUUUGCCCAAUCCCUGCCCCUCAAAUACCCUGUUCUGAAUACCUAAAUCUGGCCUCAUCCUUCGUGGCCCCAUUAUCCCCUCCUCCAUGCAGCCUUCCUCGAUUGCCCUGCCUCCAUCUGGAAGUAAGCUCUUCCAUCUCUGGAUACCCCAACACUUUACACUGACCACCCUCCCAAACCCUUAGCACCUCCUACCUUGUUUUGGGGUUAUUUAUUUGUAAGUCACAUCUCCUUGAGCAACCCAGUAUAUUCCCCUGCCCACUUGGCAUCUUUUAAGUGUA